CCAGCCUUCGGGGAUGGGGCCACCGACCUAGCCGCCGUCGCCGGGGUCCUUGAGGAGCUGGCCGAGCUCCGACUCCUAUAUCCCCACCUUUUGCGCUACGCACAUGAGCGGAAGGAGGACAUCAGAAGAUGACUUCAGGGCCUAGGGUCAUGUCGACGUCCUCAGCGUAGUGGAGUGUGUAGGCCAGACUGCAUCGACCUCCCUACUCCGCCUCUGAUUCCCACUAGGAAAGGAGAUGCAAGGAAGGUCUUGAUUUCGCACAGAUUUUACGUCUCCUCAGGCAUCAGAUGACAACUCUAAGAUAUAAAAGUCCAUGUUCCUGACAAAGGAGGAGAAGCACACGCCGCUGCAGCAUCGCUGGGCUGCGACCAUGAAAGAUGUGAUCUCCUGCUCUGUGGCUGCUGCACCGUGGAGAGAUGAGUUUCUGGCCUUCGAGGAUGAAUGUGGCCACCGGCAAUUUGGAGUCAGUCCGUGUGUGGAUUGUUGGAUCAGUAGGUAUUGGGCACCACCGCUCUGCAAGCACUAGCUCGUUUCACCGCUCCUCAAUUUCAUCCUCAGGAGGCUUCCUCAUGCUCCGGGCUCCAUCUUGUACCAAGAUGGGUUUGUGCUUGCCACCGCUUGAUGAAAUUGCUCAGUGAUCUCCCCUCACAAACUCACUUCAAAAUUGAUAAUGUCACUGGUGCGUGUUGAAUUGUAGGCCUGCUAGGAGGAAGAGCAUGUUGCGUGACCAUUUUGAGAGCAACAACAACAAGAUUCGUACUGGGAGGAAGAGAUACAGUAGCAUCUGUUUGAGCAUGUCUUUCAGUUACAUGUUGUCCUGACUGUAAUCUUGGCAUUAAUUUGUAUAAAAAUUCUUUCUCUUGCAGAAUAGAUGGGCACGGAACAGUUUGUUACCUUCCUGUGGGUUGGUUCUUUUGUAAGCACAUAGAUGCACUCUUACCUAUUACGUCAGUGAACAAAAUAUGUGACAAGGAUGAGUCUCCAGAAACAAGCGAUGUCCAUCUAUUGUAAUGGCCAGCCAAGAGACACAUAGGUCAAGCUAAACACCGAACUCGCGGCCGUCGUUGGGAAGCACAACAGAGGUUGCAGGCUGUUGCAGUGAUGCAUGCCAACUACCAGAGUUUUUCACCAAAAAGAAAUGACUGUUUAUUCAAAGGAACCGAACCAAGUCUUUACAGAUAUGGGAGUAUCCUCGAGGAGUUGAUGCAUAAGGUCUCCUAGAGAGCGGAAAGAAGAGUAUAUGAUGACCUACAGGCCUGGAUUGCAAGAUAUAGGUCUGAGGUCGGUCGCUGGCCCAUGUCUCUGUUGCUUGAAGUUACUGCUCACCGGCUGCGAGGUUAUUUAAACAGAAAGAUGGAGACAUCCCCAAGGUCCCAACAGUACAGCCAGGGCAUGUGAGUUUAGUUUGGGUGAACUAAUACACUGGGAUCUUCAUUGUUUAGGAUGUAUUUUGCCAUCCUAUGAUGUGAUUUUGUCAUGCUGCAUCCGCAUCUAUGCCCUAUACAUAUUUGCUUGAUUAUUUGUUGAAACAGAAUUACGCUAGAUUUGUAUUAGUGAGGAUAAAACACUGCAUUUGUAGCCUGUGACAAAAGUAACCCUGAAGAAGAAAACUGCAAUUUUCUUUUAUUGUGCAAAUUGGUUUGCACGAUAGUGAUUUGUCACCAAUAGGAUGGACACUAAUUUAGAGUUUAGAGGCUCAUGUAUGCACUACUUGCUAACCUUGCUAAGCAGCAUCAAAAAUAUUUUUUUGGUCGCAAUCCAAACAUGUACAGCUAAAUACUCAGUUGUUAAUUUACCAUAUAGUUUCUGUUAGUUUGAUCAUCCUAAAUGUACUGUUCUGUGUAUGGCAUAACUAAGUGGUUCACUAUUUCAGAAAAAAUAAGCUUCAAAGGCCACCAUUGUUGUUUUUGUUUAAUUUUUAUUUCGAGUUUUCUCCUGUGUAAGAUAUUACCUAUUCAUAUAUCCUUCAAACAUUUGCCAAUGCUGUUCUAAAGUAUAUAACCCAUAGGUCAUGUUUUGUACGAUGUUUCUAUUAUUCAUUUCAGCAACAUUUCCUGUUGAGUCACUGCUUAUGCUGAAAUAUGUUUCCGCUGUCAUUGGGUCGCCGCAGCUGCUGGAGUACAGGUUGCCGGCCUCCAUCUUGGCAUAAGGUUUAAGCCAUGGUUGUCGUUGAGAUUUCAUCCAGGGUCUUGAUCAUGGCAGCUUCCAGAUCCAUUGUACAACACUAUACCCACAAAGUGUGAAGUGACGGUGACCUUCCUCUAUUGGUAUGUCAUAUACAUCAAUCUGUUGGAAAAUUCUGGCUAUCCAUCAAGCAAACAGUGUAUAGGCUAUUAACUACUGUAUACAGUCAACACCCUGUAGUAAGACAUGUUGUACUGGUGACCAGUUACAUAGUGUUUCACCCAUCGGGUAGUUUUUCUUAUUUAAUAUUUGAUUACCGGGUCUGUGAGCCUUAGAACAUUCCUCUAUUUUCCUGAUUGUACAUAAAUCGUGUGCUACUAUAUUUAUUAUUUCAUGGGCUUUAUCCUAAUUUUA